rnacentral:rRNA from 1 species
UUCCGGUUGAUCCUGCCGGACCUGACUGCUAUCGGAUUGAUACUAAGCCAUGCGAGUCAUUGUAGCAAUACAAGGCAUACGGCUCAGUAACGCGUAGUCAACCUAACCUAUGGACGGGAAUAACCUCGGGAAACUGAGAAUAAUGCCCGAUAGAACACUAUACCUGGAAUGGUUUGUGUUCCAAAUGAUUUAUCGCCGUAGGAUGGGACUGCGGCCUAUCAGUUUGUUGGUGAGGUAAUGGCCCACCAAGACUAUUACAGGUACGGGCUCUGAGAGGAGUAGCCCGGAGAUGGGUACUGAGACACGGACCCAGGCCCUAUGGGGCGCAGCAGGCGAGAAAACUUUGCAAUGUGCGAAAGCACGACAAGGUUAAUCCGAGUGAUUUGUGCUAAACGAAUCUUUUGUUAGUCCUAGAACCACUAACGAAUAAGGGGUGGGCAAGUUCUGGUGUCAGCCGCCGCGGUAAAACCAGCACCUCAAGUGGUCAGGAUGAUUAUUGGGCCUAAAGCAUCCGUAGCCGGCUCUGUAAGUUUUCGGUUAAAUCUGUACGCUUAACGUACAGGCUGCCGGGAAUACUGCAGAGCUAGGGAGUGGGAGAGGUAGACGGUACUCGGUAGGAAGGGGUAAAAUCCUUUGAUCUA